UACGUAGGGACCGAGCGUUGUCCGGAUUCAUUGGGCGUAAAGAGCUCGUAGGCGGCCACUCAAGUCGAAUGUGAAACCUCGAGGCUUAACCUCGAGCCUGCAUUUGAUACUGGGCGGCUAGAGUCUGGUAGGGGGAUCUGGAAUUCCUGGUGUAGCGGUGGAAUGCGCAGAUAUCAGGAGGAACACCGGUGGCGAAGGCGGGUCUCUGGGCCGUAACUGACGCUGAGGAGCGAAAGCAUGGGGAGCGAACAGG
rnacentral:rRNA from 1 species